AACGAACGCUGGCGGCGUGGAUAAGACAUGCAAGUCGAACGGGACAGACCGAGUAGCAAUAUUUGGAAUGUUCAGUGGCGAACGGGUGCGUAACACGUGGAUAACAUUCCGGAAAGCGGGGAAUAGCCCAGGGAAACUUGGAUUAAUACCGCAUGUGGCCGCAAGGCUAAAGACGGGGACCGCAAGGCCUGUCACUUUCCGAUUGGUCCGCGGCCUAUCAGCUAGUUGGCGGGGUAAGGGCCCACCAAGGCUACGACGGGUAGCUGGGCUUAGAGGACGACCAGCCGCACUGGAACUGAGACACGGUCCAGACACCUACGGGUGGCAGCAGUCGGGAAUCUUUCACAAUGGGGGCAACCCUGGUGGAGCGACGCCGCGUGGAGGAUAAGGUCUUCAGAUUGUAAACUCCUGUCAUGCGAGAACAAGGUACUCAGGCUAAUAACCUGAUUGUUUGAUGGUACCGCAAGAGGAAGAAACGGCUAACUCUGUGCCAGCAGCCGCGGUAAAAC
rnacentral:rRNA from 1 species